rnacentral:rRNA from 1 species
UACGGGGGGGGCAAGCGUUGUUCGGAAUUACUGGGCGUAAAGGGCGCGUAGGCGGCCUUCUAAGUCGGACGUGAAAUCCCUCGGCUUAACCGGGGAACUGCGUCUGAUACUGGAUGGCUUGAGUUCGGGAGAGGGAUGCGGAAUUCCAGGUGUAGCGGUGAAAUGCGUAGAUAUCUGGAGGAACACCGGUGGCGAAGGCGGCAUCCUGGACCGAUACUGACGCUGAGGAGCGAAAGCCAGGGGAGCAAACGGG